ensembl:lncRNA
UUUUUCAACGAAUUUUCAUUUUUUACAACUUUUACUCAAAUGUACUGAUAACUUGUGUUUCAUUGUCAACAUCUUAUGUUUGAACCGCUUAAAAUAUAUUGUGAUUGUGAUUUCAGUGUCCAAAUGUAUACAGUAUUGAAACUGUUUCUUUGUAAACUUUUUUUACAAAGAGAAAAAAACAAUGUCAUGAAUCCGCGGGUGGGAUAAAGUGGAGCAUCUUCUCUCACUGCACACAGUUCUGCAGCUUUCCAUUGAUCUACUGCCUAGAACCUGAACCCCGGGGCUGCAGGGUGCCAGGGGACUUAUAGAUUGCCUUCAAAAAUAGCCUGUCCGGAGGGGAGGAGGACAGCAUAAAGGGUGGAGAGAGAGUCUGGCAACGAGAGAAUCCUCCCUCCCCAGGCAGGCCACCGAUAGCACCCCAGGUGUAUUUAUAGAUGAACGACAGCAAACCUGAACCUGGAUCAAUAGGCUCUGGGACGUUACACGAUCUGACCGCUGCAGGGCCGGAAACCUGGCUGAGAGUACAGGCCCCUGGGACGCAGAACAGGGAAAAACCUCAGGGCCUGUUGGAGAAAAAAGAAAAAAAAGUCAAGAUAAUAAGAGAGGAGUUGAAUAUGAUCAGUCUUCAGAGAGCAGAAGCGAGACUGAAAAACUGCAGGCGUUUGGUUUGGAUGAAGUCACUACAAAACCUUUAGGUAACACUAACAUGAAUCGAUAAUAUUACAAUUAAAUUUGAAAGAAAAAAAUAUAACAUUACAGUUCAUUAUGAAUCCCUUUCACUCUUUUCCACACAUUCUUCUUCUCUUCUAUAUGUUUUGAUCCACAAUCGGCCCUAGUACAGAAAUGUGGAUUAGGAAGCCUCCUCUGAACACUAGCUGACAGAUGCUAGUUUACUCAUUUCAGAACAUGCUAUCGAUUGAGGUCAUUUACAGUGAGAUGUUUAUCUGAGCUGAAUAUUGACAGAUCCUCGUCAUUUUCACCUGUGCAGCAUGACAGACAUUCAGUCAGCACAGAGGAUGAUUGUAGUGUUAAUGCAGGGACUCUGCACUGCAUUAUGGGUGGAGUGAUAGUGAAGAGAUAAAGCGGCUGUAUAUGUGGAUAUGAAAUGCCACAUGACUUAUGUUCAUGACACUAUGGCUGUUGUGAAUCUCCUGAGAGUUGUGUUUCAGCUGAAUUCAGGUCGCAGCACUGGUUUCCUUCACAAAGAAGGCAAUCCCGGCAAGCUCUAAAAUAUUUAAUGAGUUGGAUAUGUGAAUGGAUAUGCAUAUGCAUAUGAACAGUAUAAAAAUAAACAACCAUGUAAACUAAUCA